AUGUCCCAUAGUGCCCCGCGCUCGCCUGAUCGGAGGCGGGGCAGAGGCGGGAGCCGGAGUCGGGCGCUGCUCGGGGCUGGGCGGGCUCUUUGUCCUUGCAGAGGCGGGAGAGGUGGUCUGGGCUGCGCUCGGCGGUGCCCGGGCAGUGGCCCGGCGGGGCCUGUCCUCUCAGCCUUUUGCGAAUGUUGAGCUAUUUGCAGCUUUUUCCUGGAAGCGCCCUCCGCCCUCCGCCCCCACACCUGCUAAGGCGCGGGCUGAAAGAUGGUGCAGUCCUCCACCCGAGUUUCAUCAUCCAGGACCCGACAGCGGCAGCGGCUGCUCAGCAUGGGCUGGUUCCUGUUGCACGUAAAUCUUGUCCCUGUGGUUAUGUAUUUAUUAAUAGGAAACACCUGAAAAUAAAACACUCAGAGAAAUCAUCACCUUUUACAGAUGUGAACAAUACCAUAUCUUUGAAAGAUUUGCGAAUCCUUUUUUUAUAUGAAUUUAAACUAGGACAUAGUGCAGCCAUGGCGAGUAGAAACAUCAUUUCUGUCUUUGGAGAAGGCUGUGUUAGUGAAAGGACUAUCCGGUGGUGGUUUGAAAAAUUUCGCUCUGGGGAUCUGAGUCUGAAAAAUGAGCCUCGAGGGAGACCCAGAUCUGUUUUAAAUGAAGAUCAGUUGAGAGCCAUGGUGGAAGCUAACCCCAAAACAGCAAUUCGAGGCCUUGCGGCAGACUUAAGAGUUUCUGCUACAACAAUUUCCCGACACCUGGCAGCAAUAGGAAAGGUGAAACAAUUGGACAGGUGGGUAACACCAGUUGAUGGAUGAUCAUAAACUGUGAUGGUUAGAGAUAUGCUCAUCCUUUAAGAUUUGAAAGAGCAGAGACCUGUUUUGGAGAGCAAUAUGAGUUUUGACAAAAAAUGAAAUUAAAAGUGAGCUGGACAAUGGUUGGAUGUUAAUGAAGUUCCCAAACAUUUGUUAAAACCAUCAUUGCAACCAAAAAAGGUUCUGUAACUGUAUGGUGGUGUGCAAAAAGGGUAUUUCAUUACUGCUUUUUAACCCAAACUGCUUUUACUGUUUUAAAACUAACAAUAGCAUCUUAUUGUCAAGAAGUUGAAAUCAUGUAUCAAAAACUGAUCUAAAAGCACUGUGCAUUGAUUAGCAGACAUGGACCUAUACUUUUCCAUGACAUUUGAUCACAGAAAUCACAGACCACUAUAAGGAAGUUAACUGCAUUGGACUAAGAAGUUUUGCAUAUCCAUCAUACUCAUCUGACCUUUUUUCAACAGAUUACCACCUUUUUUUGUCGUUUGUAACUCUUUCUAAGAAACAGGACAUUCUCCAGUUAAGAAGCAGUAAUUGAAGGACUUAAAUAAAUUUUAACAAUAACGAAUUUUAUAAAUAAGGUAUAUACAUAUCACUUAAUAUUGGGGGAAAUUUAUCAUUUGGGGAAAGCAGUUAAUGCUAGUUGUGCAUAUUUUGGUUACAUAAAGCUUUUGUUUUUCUCAAAAAUACAACAUUUUCAUUUUGACCUGCAAAAAGGCAAUUUCAUAUGGUUCAGUCUGAUACCUCCCCAGACCCUGGCAGAGCAUGAAAACUGAGAGGCACCUAAGAUACAGGAAAACCACAUGCUGCUCCUGCGUUUUGGGUUUCUGCAGGGAGGAAUGUGGAGAGAGAGAGAGAGAGAGAGAGAGAGAGAGAGAGAGAGAGAAUUAAUUCCAAGAAUUAAGGACCAUGGGACGCUUUACUGCAAAUUAAAAAACAACAAAAGCAGUGAUGUCCUUUUGGGUAAGAGCAGCCCUGCACUGUGACACAAGCGUGGUGAGCAGAGCGUUGGGUGCUUUCAGUCCUGAUUUCCUCCCCUGGCUGAAUGCCCUUGUCUGCAGUCACUUUAUUUUUCUGCUCCAUCCUUGGGUUUGUCAAGGAAUCUACUCAGUGUUUGUGUGGACUUGUGCUUACUCCCAAGAGAGCGAAGCUUCUGACUUGGCUCAGGCUGAUAGGAGGGUAACAGGACUAAGACCAGAUGCGUGGGAAUGACUUUAUUCCAAAAGCAGUGCAAGGCCGUGCCUAAACAGUCCCAGGGCCAGAGCAGUAGGUUGGCUAGUGUGAAAGAAGGCGGUGGUAUGUACUUACUUAGUCUGGAUGGCAGUUGUUUUAUGGCCAUCACCCUCCCCUGAAUUCUCAGACCCCUUGUCAAACUUCAGAGCUGGAGGUUGGACUUUGGUCACAGUCAUAUCACAUGAAUGGUUUGGGGAUGGGUAGGAAACUCACACAGAAGCAGCGAAACGUGAUGAGACAGAAAAAGGAGCGGUUAGAGGAUGCUGAGUUAUCCUAGCGAGCGUCCCUUCCACCUCCAGCAAGUGCUGUGGCCCCGAGAGCAACAAAUGGGCCCUGUUCUUGUGAGCACGUGGAUCCAACGGGGCCUGGAACUGGCACUGAGUGGUUUGUUAUGUGAGCCAGCCAGUACCCUGCUUAAGCCAUUCUGAGUUUGAGUGUUCCAUUUUGGCAAAAGACAGACUCCUGACUGAUCUGCUCCUUGAGCUUUAAGAGGAGGCUCGUGAUACCAUGGUGCAGGGUUUGGGGAGGAACAGGGACAGUUAAUGUAAAGCAGGGGCACGGAGUUGAUGCCUGAUAAGUAGUCUUUAGUGCUUUGAGAAGGAAAAGCACAGGAGGCAAAGCAGGGCGUGGGACCUCUCGGGAGGCCCCUCUGUGUCCAGGGCCGGCCAGCGCUCAGCAAGGGCUGUUCCCAGUUGUGGACUGUCCAGACGUGCCCAGCUGUGAAGGAGGCUGGGCUUGUGAGUGACUCUGAGCCUGUGGCUUUUCUGCAGCGAGUGUUCCCUGACCCAGUGUGUUAUUGCCACGGAGGAGGAAAAGAAAGCCCUCUUUCAGGACAAAGAGGACGCUUCUCACUCUCUUUGUCUUUACUUGGUGAUUAUUUGUACCUUUUUUCUUUUUCUUUUUUAAAGAUUUUAUUGGAAUUCGGGGAGGGGAACAGUUUUGGGGAAU